rnacentral:rRNA from 1 species
GGGUUGUGAGGUUAAGCGACUAAGCGUACACGGUGGAUGCCCUGGCAGUCAGAGGCGAUGAAGGACGUGCUAAUCUGCGAUAAGCGUCGGUAAGGUGAUAUGAACCGUUAUAACCGGCGAUUUCCGAAUGGGGAAACCCAGUGUGAUUCGUCACACUAUCAUUAACUGAAUCCAUAGGUUAAUGAGGCGAACCGGGGGAACUGAAACAUCUAAGUACCCCGAGGAAAAGAAAUCAACCGAGAUUCCCCCAGUAGCGGCGAGCGAACGGGGAGCAGCCCAGAGCCUGAAUCAGUGUGUGUGUUAGUGGAAGCGUCUGGAAAGGCGCGCGAUACAGGGUGACAGCCCCGUACACAAAAAUGCACAUACUGUGAGCUCGAUGAGUAGGGCGGGACACGUGGUAUCCUGUCUGAAUAUGGGGGGACCAUCCUCCAAGGCUAAAUACUCCUGACUGACCGAUAGUGAACCAGUACCGUGAGGGAAAGGCGAAAAGAACCCCGGCGAGGGGAGUGAAAAAGAACCUGAAACCGUGUACGUACAAGCAGUGGGAGCACGCUUAGGCGUGUGACUGCGUACCUUUUGUAUAAUGGGUCAGCGACUUAUAUUCUGUAGCAAGGUUAACCGAAUAGGGGAGCCGAAGGGAAACCGAGUCUUAACUGGGCGUUAAGUUGCAGGGUAUAGACCCGAAACCCGGUGAUCUAGCCAUGGGCAGGUUGAAGGUUGGGUAACACUAACUGGAGGACCGAACCGACUAAUGUUGAAAAAUUAGCGGAUGACUUGUGGCUGGGGGUGAAAGGCCAAUCAAACCGGGAGAUAGCUGGUUCUCCCCGAAAGCUAUUUAGGUAGCGCCUCGUGAAUUCAUCUCCGGGGGUAGAGCACUGUUUCGGCAAGGGGGUCAUCCCGACUUACCAACCCGAUGCAAACUGCGAAUACCGGAGAAUGUUAUCACGGGAGACACACGGCGGGUGCUAACGUCCGUCGUGAAGAGGGAAACAACCCAGACCGCCAGCUAAGGUCCCAAAGUCAUGGUUAAGUGGGAAACGAUGUGGGAAGGCCCAGACAGCCAGGAUGUUGGCUUAGAAGCAGCCAUCAUUUAAAGAAAGCGUAAUAGCUCACUGGUCGAGUCGGCCUGCGCGGAAGAUGUAACGGGGCUAAACCAUGCACCGAAGCUGCGGCAGCGACGCUGAUGCGUUGUUGGGUA